ACAACUUCAACAUCGAGGAUGGCCACGUGCUGCCUGGCCUCAUCCACAAGGUGCACCUGGCCAAGAGUGAGUGCGUCCGCCCGAUGGGGUGCCCGGGCUCAGCUCGGGAGGAGGUGACCCAGUGCCUCUGACACCUGCUCCUUCCCUGAAUCUGCAGGCAGCGGCUCGGCCCUGACGGUGUGGGGUACAGGGAAGCCGCGGAGGCAGUUCAUAUACUCGCUGGACCUGGCCCAGCUUUUUAUCUGGGUCCUGCGGGAGUACAAUGAAGUGGAGCCCAUCAUCCUCUCCGGUGGGUACCUCAGCCCUCAGCCCCCUUCCUCCAUGGUAGGACAGGAUCCAAGGCUGUCCUGGGAGGCUGGCUGAGGGGUGGGAGCAGGAAUAUUCAUGGGCCGUCGGGCGGCACCAAGGGGAGGCCUGACCCGGUGGCUCCCCACAGUGGACGAGGAAGAUGAGGUCUCCAUCAAGGAGGCAGCCGAGGCGGUGGUGGAGGCCAUGGACUUCCAUGGGGAGGUCACCUUUGAUACAACCAAGUCGGAUGGGCAGUUUAAGAAGACAGCCAGUAACAGCAAGCUGAGGACCUACCUGCCCAGCUUCCGGUUCACACCCUUCAAGCAGGCGGUGAAGGAGACCUGUGCUUGGUUCACUGACAACUACGAGCAGGCCCGGAAGUGAAGCUGGAAGACAGGAUCAGGUGCCAGCGGACCAUCGGCUGGCAGAGCCCAGCGGCCACCACCCGUCAACCCUGCCAGGAGCUGAGGGCACCACCCAGCAACCUGGGCCUGCAUUCCAUCCGCUCUGCAGCCCCAAGCAUCUUUCCAGUGGGGCCCCCAUUCACGUUGGUCCUCAGGGAAACCAGGGUCCCGGGCAGGCCCGGCGCUUUGCUCCCCACACCAGCCCCCUGCGCGUGUCCACUCUGAUCCUGCAUCCCACUCCCUGGGAGCCAAUAAAGUGCAUUUUCACAGGC
rnacentral:sRNA from 1 species